rnacentral:sRNA from 1 species
AGUUAAAAUGCGUUACAUAGACAAUACUUUAAAAAUUAAUUAUAUUAAAUUAAUUUUGCAAUAUUGGUUUAGCAUAUUCUUUUCCUAGUAUUGGUGAGUAGAUUGGAAACUGUUGACGUCUUGAGAGCUCUUGAAACAUGUCUUUACAGCAUCUAUACUUUUUGCGCCUAGGGAAAAGGAGACCAACAAGAGGCAAAUAAUCCUUUCUUGGGCGUUGUGGUGGAGAGAUGUCAAGGCCAGGGUGUUGCUCCGAUGAAUGAUAGCUGCUUCAGCGAUGGUGCAAUUGGAGAAGAGAAUCUCCCCACCCCUCUAGCCAACUCCACAAAAUACAUGCACCUUUAUCAAGAUUGUUCGCUCGAUGCAAAAUGGUCCCUCUUCUUUGUUGAUUUGAGAUGUUGCUCAUAUGUUUUAUUAUUAUAUUGUUUUCUGUGUUUGUUACUCACUUCACUUUUCUGUCAAAUCAAUAAUUUAUCAAUCACAUCAAUUAUGAGUAUAAUAUUUAAUACUCACAUUAAUUAUCUAUUUGAUUACACACAUUAAUAUAAUAUUUCUUUUUGUUUUUUCUGUCAUUUUGUUUAAUCAGUUCUUUCAUCUAUCAAAU